GGUAAUGCCGGAUGUUCCACAUGAUCGCAUGUGAUUGUGGGAAAGAUUCUAUCGGCGUGGGAUGGGGUCGCGUCCUAUCAGCUUGUUGGUGAGGUAACGGCUCACCAAGGCUUCGACGGGUAGCCGGCCUGAGAGGGCGACCGGCCACAUUGGGACUGAGAUACGGCCCAGACUCCUACGGGAGGCAGCAGUGGGGAAUAUUGCACAAUGGGCGCAAGCCUGAUGCAGCGACGCCGCGUGAGGGAUGGAGGCCUUCGGGUUGUAAACCUCUUUUGUUUGGGAGCAAGCCUUCGGGUGAGUGUACCUUUCGAAUAAGCGCCGGCUAACUACGUGCCAGCAGCCGCGGUAAUACGUAGGGCGCAAGCGUUAUCCGGAUUUAUUGGGCGUAAAGGGCUCGUAGGCGGCUCGUCGCGUCCGGUGUGAAAGUCCAUCGCUUAACGGUGGAUCUGCGCCGGGUACGGGCGGGCUGGAGUGCGGUAGGGGAGACUGGAAUUCCCGGUGUAACGGUGGAAUGUGUAGAUAUCGAAGA
rnacentral:rRNA from 1 species